rnacentral:rRNA from 1 species
UACAGAGGGGGCAAGCGUUGUCCGGAUUGACUGGGCGUAAAGCGCACGUAGGUGGUCGGGAGCGUGGUGUGUGAAAGCUCAGGGCUUAACCCUGAUAGGCCAUGCCAAACGACUCGACUUGAGGCUGAGCAGAGGUGGGUGGAAUUGCCGGUGUAGUGGUGAAAUGCGUAGAGAUCGGCAGGAACACCAAGGGGGAACCCAGCCCACUGGGCCAGUCCUGACACUGAGGUGCGACAGCGUGGGGAGCGAACAGG